rnacentral:rRNA from 1 species
UACGGAGGGUGCAAACGUUGCUCGGAAUUAUUGGGCGUAAAGCGCACGUAGGCGGUCCAGCAAGUCGGGAGUGAAAUCCCUCGGCUUAACCAAGGAAGUGCAUCCGAAACUGCAGAGCUUGAGUACUUAAGAGGAUCGCGGAAUUCCCGGUGUAGAGGUGAAAUUCGCAGAUAUCGGGAGGAACACCAGUGGCGGAGGCGGCGAUCUGGGAAGAUACUGACGCUGAGGUGCGAAAGCGUGGGGAGCAAACAGG